UCGCCAUUUAAAGUGGUACGCGAGCUGGGUUUAGAACGUCGUGAGACAGUUCGGUCCCUAUCUGCCGUGGGCGCUGGAGAAUUGAGGGGGGCUGCUCCUAGUACGAGAGGACCGGAGUGGACGCAUCACUGGUGUUCGGGUUGUCAUGCCAAUGGCACUGCCCGGUAGCUAAAUGCGGAAGAGAUAAGUGCUGAAAGCAUCUAAGCACGAAACUUGCCCCGAGAUGAGUUCUCCCUGAGACUUUAAGUCUCCUGAAGGAACGUUGAAGACGACGACGUUGAUAGGCCGGGUGUGUAAGCGCAGCGAUGCGUUGAGCUAACCGGUACUAAUGAACCGUGAGGCUUAACCUUACAACGCCGAAG
rnacentral:rRNA from 1 species